rnacentral:rRNA from 1 species
AACGAACGCUGGCGGCAGGCUUAACACAUGCAAGUCGAGCGCCUCGCAAGAGGAGCGGCAGACGGGUGAGUAACACGUGGGAACAUACCCAUCUCUGCGGAACAACUCCGGGAAACUGGAGCUAAUACCGCAUACGCCCUUAGGGGGAAAGAUUUAUCGGAGAUGGAUCGGCACGCGUUGGAUUUGCUAGUUGGUGGGGUAAAGGCCUACCAAGGCGAGGAACCAUAGCUGGUCUGAGAGGGUGAUCAGGCACAUUGGGACUGAGACACGGCCCAAACUCCUACGGGAGGCAGCAGUGGGGAAUAGUGGACAAUGGGCGCAAGCCUGAUCCAGCCAGGCCGCGUGAGUGAUGAAGGCCUUAGUGUUGUAAAACUCUGUCGCCGAUGAAGAUAAUGACGGUAGUCGGAGAAGAAGCCCCGGCUAACUUCGUGCCAGCCGCCGCCGUAA